rnacentral:rRNA from 1 species
AUUGAACGCUGGCGGCAUGCUUUACACAUGCAAGUCGAACGGUAACAGGCCGCAAGGUGCUGACGAGUGGCGAACGGGUGAGUAAUGCAUCGGAACGUGCCCAGUCGUGGGGGAUAACGCAGCGAAAGCUGUGCUAAUACCGCAUACGAUCUGUGGAUGAAAGCGGGGGACCGUAAGGCCUCGCGCGAUUGGAGCGGCCGAUGUCAGAUUAGGUAGUUGGUGGGGUAAAGGCUCACCAAGCUGACGAUCUGUAGCUGGUCUGAGAGGACGACCAGCACACACUGGGACUGAGACACGGCCCAGACUCCUACGGGAGGCAGCAGUGGGGAAUUUUGGACAAUGGGCGCAAGCCUGAUCCAGCAAUGCCGCGUGCAGGAAGAAGGCCUUCGGGUUGUAAACUGCUUUUGUACGGAGCGAAAAGGCUCUCUCUAAUACAGGGGGCUCAUGACGGUACCGUAAGAAUAAGCACCGGCUAACUACGUGCCAGCAGCCGCGGUAAAAC